GACGUAGGGCGCGAGCGUUGUCCGGAUUUAUUGGGCGUAAAGAGCUCGUAGGCGGCUUGUCGCGUCGUCCGUGAAAACUUGGGGCUCAACCCCAAGCUUGCGGGCGAUACGGGCAGACUUGGGUACUGCAGGGGAGACUGGAAUUCCUGGUGUAGCGGUGAAAUGCGCAGAUAUCAGGAGGAACACCGGUGGCGAAGGCGGGUCUCUGGGCAGUAACUGACGCUGAGGAGCGAAAGCGUGGGGAGCGAACAGG
rnacentral:rRNA from 1 species